GUUCCGUAGGUGAACCUGCGGAAGGAUCAUUAUUGUAUAACCGAGGUGCGAGGGCUGUCGCUGACCCGAAAGGUCGUGCACGCCCGAGUGCCCUCACACACAUCCAUCUCACCCCUAUGUGCACCACCGCGUGGGUCCCCCUUUGGCUUGUUCGGAGGGGGGCUUACGUUUUCACACAAACUUUGUAUGCAGUGUAGAAUGUAUUUUUUGUUUUUGCGAUCACGCAAUCAAUACAACUUUCAACAACGGAUCUCUUGGCUCUCGCAUCGAUGAAGACGCAAC
rnacentral:misc_RNA from 1 species